AUUGAACGCUGGCGGCAGGCCUAACACAUGCAAGUCGAACGAGUGGCGGACGGGUGAGUAAUGUCUGGGAAACUGCCCGAUGGAGGGGGAUAACUACUGGAAACGGUAGCUAAUACCGCAUACCAUCGGAUGUGCCCAGAUGGGAUUAGCUUGUAGGUGAGGUAACGGCUCACCUAGGCGACGAUCCCUAGCUGGUCUGAGAGGAUGACCAGGCACACUGGAACUGAGACACGGUCAGGACGCCUACGGGAGGAAGCAGUGGGGAAGAUUGCACAAUGUGCGUAAGCCUGAUUCAGCCAGGCCGCGUGUAUUAAGAAGGCCUUCGGGUGGGAAAGUACGUUCAGCGGGGAGGCGUUACCCGCAGUAGAAGCACCGGCUAACUCCGUGCCAGCAGCCGCGGUAAUAC
rnacentral:rRNA from 1 species